AUGAGUAAUAUUUCUAUUUAUCUUAACCCGUGUGAUUCAAAUCAAAGAGUUUGUGUUGACAACAGACGAUUUAUUUCCUUCACCUCGACACGCGUGACCUUUAUCACUCCGUUGUUUAUUCGGUUUGAGCUCUCCCACUUCUCUUCCUGCAACAACACUGUUUCCGCUCUUCGGUUUGCGCUCUCCGUCGUCUCUUCUUGCAACCACGUAGUACGGGUUCUCUCUCUUCCCGAUGCGUUUACUCUCUCUCCUUUGCAACGCUAA